rnacentral:lncRNA from 1 species
GCCCCCACGGCGGCGCGGCGGAGCUCAGCCUCGAUCUCGCGAAACCGAGCGAGACUACGGAAGGCCGAAGGAUUGGGCUCAGCAUUGCUUGGGCUAAAGGCUGACUAGGGCUUCCAGGAAGUGAUGUAUGUGAGAAGUUUGCUUUUUAAAGUGUACGUGGGAUCGUUAUUACGUCGAAAUAGCUCGAGCUGUAACCUAGGCAAUAACAAGCAAGAUUCAGAAGUCCAACAAGUAAGACAUUGAUUUCAUUAAGAGAGAACUAGUAAGCAAGCUAUUUGGGAAGUACACUCUCAUAAGAAUAUUGUUUCAUGAAGUCUUGAGCAACAAAGGAAAUAGUCCAUGAAGUGCACUGCUGUCAGACUCCCUCUAAGAAUACUUCAACUGCUCAUGAAGCGGGGGGCCUUAACUAUUUACUUCUUUUGGAAGCCUCCAUCUGGCCCAUCUAUCUUUAUUCUCCCAGGAUCACAGGCAGAACACCUGAGCCACAGUAUCAGAACUAGGGUUGGAAGCCUGCUUUUCCUGGAAUGAAACCCCUCACUCUUCAAGUGUCCAGGAGACAAGAGUCAUUGUGCAAGCCUAUCUCUAGAGAGGCUAACAGACUCUUUCUGGCUUUGAAAGAAACAAGCUGCCAUAUUGAAACAAGCUGCCAUAUUAUGUGUGAGCUGCCCUAAGGAAAGACACACAUGGUAAGGAAGAGAGGAUGACCUCUGGCUGAUAGGCAGCAAGAAACUAAGGACCUCAGUCUGAGAACCUGCAAGGAGCUGAAUUCUUCCAAUUACCAUGUGAGCUUGGAAGCAGCUCCUUCCCCAGUCAAGCCUCAGAUGAGACCCCAGCCCUGGCCAACACCUUGAUUGCAGCCUCUUAUGAAGAUUGUAGUCCCUAAGCAGAAAAUCCAGAUAACCUGUGCCCAGAUUGCUGAGCCACAGAAAUUCACUGAGAUAAUAAACGUGUGU